rnacentral:rRNA from 1 species
GAUGAACGCUGGCGGCGUGCCUAAUACAUGCAAGUCGAGCGAACGGACGAGAAGCUUGCUUCUCUGAUGUUAGCGGCGGUCGGGUGAGUAACACGUGGAUAACCUACCUAUAAGACUGGGAUAACUUCGGGAAACCGGAGCUAAUACCGGAUAAUAUUUUGAACCGCAUGGUUCAAAAGUGAAAGACGGUCUUGCUGUCACUUAUAGACGGUUCCGCGCUGCAUUAGCUAGUUGGUAAGGUAACGGCUUACCAAGGCAACGAUGCAUAGCCGACCUGAGAGGGUGAUCGGCCACACUGGAACUGAGACACGGUCCAGACUCCUACGGGAGGCAGCAGUAGGGAAUCUUCCGCAAUGGGCGAAAGCCUGACGGAGCAACGCCGCGUGAGUGAUGAAGGUCUUCGGAUCGUAAAACUCUGUUAUUAGGGAAGAACAUAUGUGUAAGUAACUGUGCACAUCUUGACGGUACCUAAUCAGAAAGCCACGGCUAACUACGUG